rnacentral:lncRNA from 1 species
AUGGUUGCCUACCUCCAGCCCACGUCCUCUGCCCCGCUUCCGGCCGCCGCGCCCUGCCUCCGAGAGCCCUUCUUCCUUCCCUUUCCUCUCGUUUCCAGUCCUCCUCGGGGCGUUCCCAUGGCUGCUGCCGUAGGCACUUGGGCUUUCUCGAUGCCGGCUGUGCGGAAGGUGGGCUCGCUGCUCAAGAACGGGGCUGGGGCUACGGACUCUCUGCAGGAGGCGACGGCAGAAAUCGAGAAUGGUGAGAAAACUGGUCAAUACAUAGUUGAACAAGGAGGCUACCCAAAUAAAGAUGGGCUCGUUCAAUGUGGUGCAGCUGUCAUGGAAGGUCUCCCCAGUCGAUUUGGAGCAAUGGCGGCCUUACAUGGUGUGAUUGACCUUUAAGGCUCUUGCCAGACCUAAAAUCCUAUUACCUCAAAUCCUGUGUUUCAACCAAAAGGAUAAUAGAACUGUAGCCCAGAAGUACUGCUGUAAAGGGGAACUUUUCAUUUUGUUCUACAGUCUUUAGUAGUUGGUUGGAAGCCUCAAUCAGGUGAGAGAUCUUGUCUUGCUCAGGUUUUUUUUCUCUUCCAUUGCCUACUACUCUGAACAUACUGGGCAUUUAAUGCUCUUUUUUUUUUUGCCACUAAAUAUUUGUCCUCUAUGAUUUCUUUGAGAGAAAGAACCUUAAAGGGAGGGUUUGUGACCAUCAAGAAAAGCUUAAUAAAUAUAUGCUCUUUUUUCUCCA